rnacentral:rRNA from 1 species
AUUGAACGCUGGCGGCAGGCCUAACACAUGCAAGUCGAGCGAGCGGCGGACGGGUGAGUAAUGUAUGGGGACUGCCCGAUAGAGGGGGAUAACUACUGGAAACGGUGGCUAAUACCGCAUACUAUCGGAUAACCCAUAUUGGAUUUGCUAGUAGGUGGGGUAAAGGCUCACCUAGGCGACGAUCUCUAGCUGGUGUGAGAGGAUGAUCAGCAAAAAUGGGACUGAGACACGGCCCAAACUCCUACGGAGGCAGCAGUGGGGAAUAUUGCACAAUGGGCGCAAGGCUGAUGCAGCCAUGCAGCGUGUAUGAAGGAGGCCUUAGGGUUGUAAAGUACUUUCAGCGGGGAGGAGUUACCCGAAGAAGAAGCACCGGCUAACUCCGUGCCAGCAGGCGCGGUAAUUC